AUCAACAGUGUGUUUCGAUUCUUAAAUAAAUGACUCUUAUGAGUCGACGCCACCGACUCCCGAACGAACCUGUUCUUUUUAGUGAAUGAAAACACCUAAACUGCCUUGCUGUUGCUGAGUGAAUAUAAUUAAUUUAUCAAGUAUUAUUUUCGUCAUGUCAGAUUCAAAAGAACAGCUGAUAUAGCCUAUUUAAGGUUCGUGAAACAUACCUUGAGAUGAUGGUUGUAGAUAUGUCUAGUUAAAGAUACACAAUAUGAGUUUUGUUGUAGUCAGUGGUACUAUACAAAUAUUAUAGGUUUCUUUUUUAACAUUAUAGUUAUAAUUUAGGAGCAAUUAUUGUAUUUAUAUACCCUUUAAAAAGUCACAACAGCCAUUUUGAAAGAAUUAGGUCAAAUUUAUUUCCUAUUAGUUAUUUCUGAUAUAUGGUGAAAUCUUUAAUGAUCUAUACAGGCUAAUACUAAUGCAAAGGGCUGCAACAGGCCUAUACAAUAACUCAGUUUCUUAUUUCAGAUAGUUGUUCCUCAAAAGAAUAUGUAGUGCACUGUUAAGGAAUCGGAAUCGGUCAGUUCUUCCCAUCCCGUGUGAGAACAUGAAGACGGCGGGCUCGACUGACUGUGAUCGCCCGCCUCUGGAGGACAUGCGCCGGGGACUCGACACGUGAUCCGCUCGCCACAAUCCAGUAUGGCGGAAUCCGUCGGCGAGUGGAUCCGUAGCUGGCACGCUCUCCAACGGGAAUAAAGUGCGGGGCGUUGCGUCCGAUCGCGGCGGAGCUGCGGAGAGUUCAUUCUUAUCGAGCGAAGAGGAACUGAUACACAGAGCUGGAUCUCGGCCAGAGGGGGCGCUAUGAGCCUCUGAGAUUGCCCUUUCUUUCCUGUCCCGUGUCUCUUUUGACUCGUCUUCCCAUUCAACAGUGGAUGGUGACCAGCCAACAAGCCCCAGAGGAGCCGUGAGGUGUUUCUCACAUCCUCAUCUGCCAGGACACACUCCGCUUAUCAAGCCAGUCACUUCAGAGAAAGCCACCACCGUCGCCACAAUGAGUUCCCACAGCCGCCCAGUUCAGAGCAGGUUUGAGGACAGAUUGAGCGCCUGCUGAAGUGAUGUUGGGGUAGAAAAAGUGGAUAUGCAACAACAACACAAUACGAACAUCUCUCAGAUUUUCUGAGGCGGUUGUUUGUCUUCUCUGCAGUGUUCUGUGCAAACUGAGGCGUAAAGCCCUCCGGUCUUACUUUGAGAGGAACUGACGCCGCUGUUGAUCCGUGGAAACGACCCUGAGCUCUGUCACCGCCUGCUGCCGCUGGCGAGACUGUGACUGGAAUGUCUAAUGAAUUAAACACUGCAAAGUCUUUGAAUUCUUUCUUCUCAACUCCUCGUCUCUCUCUCUCUCCGUCUCAGGCUGUGAUUCAUUGACAGUCUUUAGCGAGUAGGUGCGAGACACAUCGGGGUCAGUAUGUCAGAAAGCUCACUCGUAUGAAGUGCAUCUGAAGCUCAUUACUGCUAGAUUAAUCACUGCUCCCGGUGCUGACAUACACAAACUCAUUACAGCUGAGGAGAAGUUAUUUUUCACAUUAAAUGAUUUAUUCAUUUUUAAAAAUGUAAAAUGAAUAUGUACGUGAAUACGUUUAUAAUUCGAGCAUUAUACUGUCACUUCUGAUCAAUACAAUGUGUCCUUGCUAAAUAAGUUUUUUCAGAAAAAAAAAAAAGUGAAAGAAAGAAAUCUUAUCAACACAAACUUU
ensembl:lncRNA